AGAUGGCCUACUCUAUAUAACUUCUCCAUGCUCUUAAACUUUCUUUUAUUAUUGUGUUUAUUUCCUGUUUUUAUGCUUGUCUUAUUUGGUCUGUAAGUGUCCUUGGGUGUUUUGAAAAAGGCGCUUUUAAAUAAAAUUUAGUAGUAGUAGUAGUAGUAGUAGUAGUAGUACAAGUUUACAUUAACGUUUUAUUUUGAAGAGCGCGGCCUUGGGUGGUUUUUUUUUUAGGGGGGUUUUUGGUAGAGAAGACAGUAUGAGAACAAAGAAAAGGUGGAGCUCAGGAAGUUGAGUAUUUAGUCACCAGAGCGAUGGCUGCAGGGUGGAAGCUGAGCGCUGCGGUGCUGCUGAGUGUGUUUGUGCAGGUUUUGAGCGGGCUGCCAGUGAAGUGCACCGUCUCCCGUGAUGGUGGCAGGACUACGUACGCCCUCCAGACCGGGUUUUAUGACAAGGAUGUGCAGAAGCCCGAGUUCUCGUGGUUUAACAUCUCCAAAUACGUCCUCGCCAACCACAUUGGCCAAAUUGAUGUGGUGAAAAGUUGCAGCUUCAACGUUCUCACUGUCAGAGGCUGCAUCGAAAACCUUUUCUGUGAAGGACACAUCAACUCCAAGGGGAAACCUCUCGACUACACGGCCAACUGCACCACCGUCUGCCCUUCAGAAGCUUUGCCUGGAGACCAAGUGUUUAUCAGCGCCGGGCUGCAUGCUGUGUGUCGUCCCAUUCAGGUUAUGGAACUCUCAUCGCUGGAUCAUCGCUGUCAUUGUCAUUGUCAUAGUGAUAGCGCUUGUAUGCAUCAUGUGCUUCCUGUGCUGCAGAAAUGAAAAUCUCAGGAGAUGCCGCUGUGGGCAAACCAGAGGACUCUACACCGUCAAGAAGAAAGAAGCAGCAAAGCCAGAAGUUGUGUAAAAAGAACAGAUCUGAUGAUCUUUCCCCUUUUUUCACUUAGAGUGUGCAUGAAAAGGUUAAUCUCUACCUCUGAGUGGAUGCUUUCUGUAGUUUCCCACUGCGUCUACACAGUAAGUCCACGCUUCCUGUGGACUUGUUUUCAGUUCCUCUUUGUUCGCACUUUGGCCCAGUUAAUGACAGCACGGUGGUGGUAAUGAGUGACAGAAGGACACUUAUGUGACUGGAUGCUGGAGACUUGAAGUGCUAAACUCUAACUCAUGUGUGACUUUUUAUUUUAAGCUUUACUUAAUAAUGAUAAUAAUGCAACAAUGUUUACUUUAUUGAUCCCCGUGGGGAAAUUCCUCUCUGCAUUUAACCCAUUCACUCAGUGAAGCAGUGGGCAGCCACUGGGCGCCCGGGGAGCAGCGUGUAGGGACGGUACCUUGCUCAGGGAUUCAAACCCUCCUGUUUUGCAUUAUAAUUGCCAAAACUGAACCCCAGCUCACUGAUUUGUGUUACUGUAACUGUAUCCUGUUACAGCGUCGAUCCCAUCGUUGAUUUUGAUUCCACUUGCCGGUCAGCUGUGAGGGAUUGGUGCACAGGUGAAAAGUUCUCUGGGCUGUGGAAGCUCUCAGACUCUUUGCUGCACCAGCGAGUGCACUUUGAGGAGCUAAUACUAAACCCCCCCCCCCGCCCCGCCAAAUUGUGUAAACCAGCUGUGGAAGCUCGGAGACUUGUAAUGCAGCACCAGGGCGUGCACUUUCAGUGUCCUAUAGCAUUACAGCACAUAGUAUAUAUAAUAUAUAGUAAUAUAAAGAUGAAUAUAGAUGACUUACUAUCUAUAUGCUGCUGAUAUUUUUAUAAUAUGAAAGUAUAUUAUUUAUAUAUAAAUGUAUUAUGUAUUAUUAUUAUUAUAUAACUUGUAAGGAUGAAUAUUGUGAUCUUAAACUACUCGUCAUGUGUCCUUCUCUUAUGAAAUUUAUAUUUUAUGCUGUCAAUCAAACAUUUGAUUCUGUAUAAGCUGUAUCUGUUGCAUUAUUGUUUCUUUUUCAGUCAUUAAAAGCUUCUGUUCAGA
ensembl:lncRNA